CUACCCAAAUUUGGCACCGCCCGAANUGAAAAGAUCUUCAAAGGUCUCCUCCACCAGAAUGUCAAGGCGACANUGUCUUUCAAGAAAACCGUUGUAUCACAGAGCGUCGUUUUCCCACUCGAAUCGCAUUCUGUUNUCUCUUUUACGGAUCCAGAACCCAANUCCGUGUGAUAUUUUGUGUGUUUUUGCAAUUACUCUGUCGCACAUUGGCUUUUUUCCACUUUUAGUGUGUGUUNCUUCCCCCCCNNCUNUAAUCCNGUAUAGACUUUCGUNAGGNGCCUGCGGAAGGAUCAUUACUGUGAUUUACUACUACACUGCGUGAGCGGAACGAAAACAACAACACCUAAAAUGUGGAAUAUAGCAUAUAGUUGACAAGAGAAAUUUACGAAAAAACAAACAAAACUUUCAACAACGGAUCUCUUGGUUCUCGCAUCGAUGAAGAGCGCAGCGAAAUGCGAUACCUAGUGUGAAUUGCAGCCAUCGUGAAUCAUCGAGUUCUUGAACGCACAUUGCGCCCCUCGGCAUUCCGGGGGGCAUGCCUGUUUGAGCGUCGUUUCCAUCUUGCGCGUGCGCAGAGUUGGGGGAGCGGAGCGGACGACGUGUAAAGAGCGUCGGAGCUGCGACUCGCCUGAAAGGGAGCGAAGCUGGCCGAGCGAACUAGACUUUUUUUCAGGGACGCUUGGCGGCCGAGAGCGAGUGUUGCGAGACAACAAAAAGCUCGACCUCAAAUCAGGUAGGA
rnacentral:rRNA from 1 species